AAAAAGGGCGCUCGUCCUGGCACGUUCGAUCACUGAACACAAGUGCAGACGCAUUGCGCCGCAGGAGCGUCUCCUUCGCUCCGCCCCUGGGUUUCCAGGAGCGGGCGGGGGCGAGCGUACCAUUGCCGCCUUCGACGGCUCCUUGCGCGCCCAGUGGGGUAUGGCUUUGCAUAUCCAGUGCGUAAUUUUUUGACCUGGGGCCGCGGCUGCAUAUCCUGGAUUGCUCGUGGGAUCCCCGGAUCCCCCUGCGUGCCUGUGCGCUGCGCCCCG